UUAAGCGACUAAGCGUACACGGUGGAUGCCCUGGCAGUCAGAGGCGAUGAAGGACGUGCUAAUCUGCGAAAAGCGUCGGUAAGGUGAUAUGAACCGUUACAGCCGGCGAUGUCCGAAUGGGGAAACCCAGUGCAAUUCGUUGCACUAUCGUUAACUGAAUACAUAGGUUAACGAGGCGAACCGGGGGAACUGAAACAUCUAAGUACCCCGAGGAAAAGAAAUCAACCGAGAUUCCCCCAGUAGCGGCGAGCGAACGGGGAGCAGCCCAGAGUCUGAAUCAGCUUGUGUGUUAGUGGAACGGUCUGGAAAGUCCGACGGUACAGGGUGAUAGUCCCGUACACCAAAAUGCACAGGCUGUGAACUCGAAGAGUAGGGCGGGACACGUGGUAUCCUGUCUGAAUAUGGGGGGACCAUCCUCCAAGGCUAAAUACUCCUGACUGACCGAUAGUGAACCAGUACCGUGAGGGGAAAGGCGAAAAGAACCCCGGCGAGGGGAGUGAAAAAGAACCUGAAACCGUGUACGUACAAGCAGUGGGAGCACCUUCGGGUGUGACUGCGUACCUUUUGUAUAAUGGGUCAGCGACUUAUAUUCUGUAGCAAGGUUAACCGUAUAGGGGAGCCGCAGGGAAACCGAGUCUUAACUGGGCGUUAAGUUGCAGGGUAUAGACCCGAAACCCGGUGAUCUAGCCAUGGGCAGGUUGAAGGUUGGGUAACACUAACUGGAGGACCGAACCGACUAAUGUUGAAAAAUUAGCGGAUGACUUGUGGCUGGGGGUGAAAGGCCAAUCAAACCGGGAGAUAGCUGGUUCUCCCCGAAAGCUAUUUAGGUAGCGCCUCGUGAACUCAUCUUCGGGGGUAGAGCACUGUUUCGGCUAGGGGGUCAUCCCGACUUACCAACCCGAUGCAAACUACGAAUACCGAAGAAUGUUAUCACGGGAGACACACGGCGGGUGCUAACGUCCGUCGUGAAGAGGGAAACAACCCAGACCGCCAGCUAAGGUCCCAAAGUCAUGGUUAAGUGGGAAACGAUGUGGGAAGGCACAGACAGCCAGGAUGUUGGCUUAGAAGCAGCCAUCAUUUAAAGAAAGCGUAAUAGCUCACUGGUCGAGUCGGCCUGCGCGGAAGAUGUAACGGGGCUAAACCAUGCACCGAAGCUGCGGCAGCGACACUAUGUGUUGUUGGGUAGGGGAGCGUUCUGUAAGCCUGCGAAGGUGUGCUGUGAGGCAUGCUGGAGGUAUCAGAAGUGCGAAUGCUGACAUAAGUAACGAUAAAGCGGGUGAAAAGCCCGCUCGCCGGAAGACCAAGGGUUCCUGUCCAACGUUAAUCGGGGCAGGGUGAGUCGACCCCUAAGGCGAGGCCGAAAGGCGUAGUCGAUGGGAAACAGGUUAAUAUUCCUGUACUUGGUGUUACUGCGAAGGGGGGACGGAGAAGGCUAUGUUAGCCGGGCGACGGUUGUCCCGGUUUAAGCAUGUAGGCUGGUUAUCCAGGCAAAUCCGGAUAAUCAAGGCUGAGGUGUGAUGACGAGGCACUACGGUGCUGAAGUAACAAAUGCCCUGCUUCCAGGAAAAGCCUCUAAGCAUCAGGUAACAUCAAAUCGUACCCCAAACCGACACAGGUGGUCAGGUAGAGAAUACCAAGGCGCUUGAGAGAACUCGGGUGAAGGAACUAGGCAAAAUGGUGCCGUAACUUCGGGAGAAGGCACGCUGGUGUGUAGGUGAAGUCCCUGCGGAUGGAGCUGAGACCAGUCGAAGAUACCAGCUGGCUGCAACUGUUUAUUAAAAACACAGCACUGUGCAAACACGAAAGUGGACGUAUACGGUGUGACGCCUGCCCGGUGCCGGAAGGUUAAUUGAUGGGGUUAUCCGUAAGGAGAAGCUCUUGAUCGAAGCCCCGGUAAACGGCGGCCGUAACUAUAACGGUCCUAAGGUAGCGAAAUUCCUUGUCGGGUAAGUUCCGACCUGCACGAAUGGCGUAAUGAUGGCCAGGCUGUCUCCACCCGAGACUCAGUGAAAUUGAACUCGCUGUGAAGAUGCAGUGUACCCGCGGCAAGACGGAAAGACCCCGUGAACCUUUACUAUAGCUUGACACUGAACAUUGAGCCUUGAUGUGUAGGAUAGGUGGGAGGCUUUGAAGCGUGGACGCCAGUCUGCGUGGAGCCAACCUUGAAAUACCACCCUUUAAUGUUUGAUGUUCUAACGUUGGCCCCUUACCGGGGUUGCGGACAGUGUCUGGUGGGUAGUUUGACUGGGGCGGUCUCCUCCCAAAGCGUAACGGAGGAGCACGAAGGUUAGCUAAUCCUGGUCGGACAUCAGGAGGUUAGUGCAAUGGCAUAAGCUAGCUUGACUGCGAGCGUGACGGCGCGAGCAGGUGCGAAAGCAGGUCAUAGUGAUCCGGUGGUUCUGAAUGGAAGGGCCAUCGCUCAACGGAUAAAAGGUACUCCGGGGAUAACAGGCUGAUACCGCCCAAGAGUUCAUAUCGACGGCGGUGUUUGGCACCUCGAUGUCGGCUCAUCACAUCCUGGGGCUGAAGUAGGUCCCAAGGGUAUGGCUGUUCGCCAUUUAAAGUGGUACGCGAGCUGGGUUUAGAACGUCGUGAGACAGUUCGGUCCCUAUCUGCCGUGGGCGCUGGAGAAUUGAGGGGGGCUGCUCCUAGUACGAGAGGACCGGAGUGGACGCAUCACUGGUGUUCGGGUUGUCAUGCCAAUGGCACUGCCCGGUAGCUAAAUGCGGAAGAGAUAAGUGCUGAAAGCAUCUAAGCACGAAACUUGCCCCGAGAUGAGUUCUCCCUGAGACUUUAAGUCUCCUGAAGGAACGUUGAAGACGACGACGUUGAUAGGCCGGGUGUGUAAGCGCAGCGAUGCGUUGAGCUAACCGGUACUAAUGAACCGUGAGGCUUAACCUU
rnacentral:rRNA from 1 species